UGGACCAUUUAAAGCUACUCUGGCUGGGCUCAUGUGACCCGCCUGACAUUGGGAGAUGGGGCUUUUAAGAACACCGCCACCUUGUCAAUGGAACAGAGGUCACUAAUAGCCUUGCCUUGGGCCUUCCGACGGGGUCGCAUUCAGAUUGCAAGCCCCCGCGCACAAAAGGAAAGAGAAAGGAGAGGAAGCCGGCCCUGGAAGGGGUGAAGGAGGAGACGGGGCACUUUGGAUAAGCAGAAUGCAGCUGCACCCGAACAUGAUAAAGCUCCUCCAUCAAGAUGAUGAACAAUUUGGAUGAAGAGCCUUCGAGAUGAAGACAAAAGCUGAAGAAGUGAAGCUGAUACAACCCAAGACAGCUAAAGAAUGCAGGCAGCCUGCAGAUGAAUAGCCCUCAUUUGUGAAUAUACAGAUUUUCCGUGAUGAAUAAAAACGGAGUGACACGGCUUUAUUCAGAAUUCUUACCCACAACUGCAAAGAACCGCAAUACCUCAAGGACCAUCUCUUCCUAUGUAGGUAAAAGGUAAAGGACCCCUGGAUGGUUAAGUCCUGUCAAAGGCAACUAUGGGGUGCGGUGCUCAUCUCUCCAGGCCGAAAGAGCUGACCCUUUUUCACAGACAGCUUUGUGGAUCAUGUCACAAGCAUGAUUAAACCGCUUCUGGCGCAAUGGAACACCGUGAUGGAAGCCAGACCGCACGGAAACGCCA